ACGAACGCUGGCGGCAGGCUUAACACAUGCAAGUCGAAGGUGAAGCGGGACUUCGGUCCCGUGGAAACUGGCGCACGGGUGAGUAACGCGUGGGAAUCUACCCCGGGGUGGGGAAUAACCAUUGGAAGCGAUGGCUAAUACCGCAUACGCCUUUAGAGGGAAAGCUAUAUGCGCCCUGGGAUGAGCCCGCGUCGGAUUAGGUAGUUGGUGGGGUAAUGGCCUACCAAGCCGACGAUCCGUAGCUGGUCUGAGAGGAUGAUCAGCCACACUGGGACUGAGACACGGCCCAGACUCCUACGGGAGGCAGCAGUGGGGAAUAUUGGACAAUGGGGGGAACCCUGAUCCAGCCAUGCCGCGUGCGUGAAGAAGGCCUUAGGGUUGUAAAGCGCUUUCGGCGGGGAAGAUGAUGACGGUACCCGCAGAAGAAGCCCCGGCUAACUCCGU
rnacentral:rRNA from 1 species